UACGUAGGGGGCUAGCGUUGUCCGGAAUCAUUGGGCGUAAAGAGCGUGUAGGCGGCCCGGUAAGUCCGCUGUGAAAGUCGGGGGCUCAACCCUCGAAAGCCGGUGGAUACUGUCGGGCUAGAGUGCGGAAGAGGCGAGUGGAAUUCCUGGUGGUAGCGGUGAAAUGCGCAGAGUAUCAAGGAGGAACACCGAUUGUGAAGGCAGCUCGCUGGACGUAACUGACGCUGGAGACGCGAAAGCGUGGGAGCAAACAGGAUAGAACCCCAGUAG
rnacentral:rRNA from 1 species